rnacentral:rRNA from 1 species
UAGGGAAUAUUAGUAAUGGGCGAAAGCCUGAACUAGCAACACCGCGUGUGCGAAGAAGGCCUUCGGGUUGUAAAGCACUUUUUGAGCGGAUGAGGAAGGACGGUACUCUCAGAAUAAGUCUCGGCUAACUACGUGCCAGCAGCCGCGGUAACACGUAGGAGGCAAACGUUAUCCGGAUUUACUGGGCGUAAAGCGCGUGUAGGUGGUUUGGUAAGUAGAGCGUGAAAGCUCCGGGCUCAACUGGGAGAGGUCGUUCUAAACUGCCGGACUAGAGGAUGGUAGAGGGAGGUGGAAUUCCGGGUGUAGCGGUGGAAUGCGCAGAGAUCCGGAGGAACACCAGUGGCGAAAGCGGCCUCCUGGACCACUCCUGACACUCAGACGCGAAAGCUAGGGUAGCAAACG